GUAGGUGAACCUGCGGAAGGAUCAUUAACACUAAUCCAAUCAACUCAACCUAGCCUUCAGUUGCAGUAGCAGCAUUCCAGCGAAAGCAGGUAGUGCGGCAACUGCAACAACAAAAAACUAAUUCACGCAAAGGAGCCUAACUAAGCUCAACCACAAAAACCAAAUUCUCAACGAUGGAUAUCUUGGUUCCCAUAACGAUGAAGAACGCAGCGAAGUGCGAUAAGCAAUGCGAAUUGCAGAACCGUGAGUCAUCAGAUCUUUGAACGCAACUGGCGCCGGCUGGGCCCUCCAGCCGGCAUGCUUGUUUCAGUGUCUUUUUCUCUCAUCACCCAAAUCUUAAUGCGAGAGAUACCCUUCUCUUGCUAAGCACGAAAGCACUCUGUGCUCUGCGAGCGGCUUCCCCGACUUGUUCGGGGGUCGCACUCAAUGCAGCCGUCACAUUGCUCACAAUGUGAACUCAUUGGGAGUAGAGACAGCGCAGCAACCGCUGCCAGUGUUUAGUCACUAAAACUUUCUUUGCAUCUGAAAUCAAGCAGGACCACCCGCUGAACUUAAGCA
rnacentral:rRNA from 1 species